GCCUGGGUGGCUCAGUCGGUUGAGCUUCCGACUUCGGCCCGGGGUCAUGAUCUCGCGCUCCGUGGGUUCGAGCCCCACAUGGGGCU
rnacentral:tRNA from 1 species